rnacentral:misc_RNA from 1 species
UUUCUUCUCUGUUUGACGCCAGCGGGUCUCUGUGAUGCAAUGGAACGUCGGCGUGAAGCCAUGGCCCAUAGCCGCGUUGAAGCGACCGUGACUGCUGUGGUGGGCGAGAUGAUCGCCAACGCCACGAGCACGUCUGCCCCCAGCUCCACUAAGGACUCUGCUCCCUCAAGCUCACUUCAGCCAGAGGCUGAGAGGACGAUAGACUCCGCCAUUCUCUGGCUAGUCACCGUCUUCUACUUUUCCGUGAGCGCUGCUGCCCUGGCGUACUUCGUUGCUCGCUGGCGGCAGCGUGUGUACGGGACCGAUCGCGUGCUCCUACGUGGUGGAUCCGGGGCGGAUGGUGGCGGCGCUGCUGCCCAGAUGAGCGCUGCUAACGAGGGUCUCUUGGCCACCAUUAGUGCUGUGAUUGAGCGGGCGACAAGCAUCACGGCGCUUGCCGGCGCGGCGUCGUGGCAGCGAUCGGAGAACGCACGGCACCGCAGAGCCAGCCAGAGUCCUGGCGGUCGUCACCGCGGAGGGGGUGCGGCAGCCGGGGGCGGACGCAGUCGAAGCUGGUUGGGAGGACUCGCCCCCUUUCUGCCAGGGUCGCAAGCGCGCAGUGCAGCGGCGAAGCGGAACAAGCAGAAAAGUGAUGAUGUUCACAUCGAUAGCGAGGCGUUGCCCACCGUGUGGAUCGAUGGAGCUGGUGCAGGCGGAGCGAUCCAUGGAGCCGCCAUCGGCGGCAGCGCCGUCCCCUCCAGCAGCAUUGGGCCGACCAUGACAGCGCGCGAUCAGCAACAGCAGCAGCAACGCGGAGAGAUUUAGCGAGAGAGAGGCGUACGCCUCUCCGCCUGGGCUGCUUGCCUGGCACACGCGCACAAACGCGCAGACCUCCCUUAGCUUUGGCUUAUGCAUCAUGGAAGGAGGCAGCGCUGCAUACCUCGUCCGAUUCGACGGCGCGCCCACGUGUGGGGAAAGGGUACGUGUGUGUGUGUGUGUGUCCCGGAAGGUGUGUGCCCGGUUGAAUGUGAAAUCUGUGCGUGCCCCAAGCUGUCCCCCACGCCCCCGCAUACACCUCACUCUGCUCUUCCCGCCUUGUUUUACUUGCACCGCUGCUGAUGCGACUCUGAACGCGAUGGCAGACGUGACUUCUUCAGUCCUCUCCUCUUCUCUGAUUUCGCCGUCGCUCUUUGUGUGUGUGUGUAUACGUGCGUGUGUGAGGUGCGUUGGCGUGCACGAGAAACGGAGAAGAGGCGCGCGUGAGGACCGGCGGGAGCCAGAUGCCGGUGUGAAAGCGAGCGAUAAAACUGGUGCUGCCGACUGCCGCGACGUGUGCACGCUGCCACGGUCAGCUGGCGCUCGCCUUCCCUUCUGUUUCUCUUUUCCCCAUGGCGCGUGAGCGCUUGUCUUCGUCGUUGACACUCUGCGCUCUUGCCCGCCCUCCCCCUUUACUCGCACUGCUUUCCGUUUUGGGCCCCAUCGGCCCUGCACACUGGACGUCGAUUUCUUUCGAGGAUCUAG